rnacentral:misc_RNA from 1 species
GGUGAACGAGAGAGACCGGAUAAUUCCAGGACGCUCUUUCUACGUAAAAAAGCGUAUCGAACAAGAGGCCGUCAAUCAAAUUGAGCUGGCAUGGAAUCAUUUUACUUGCAGAUUCGGAUUCCUGAGAUCAAAAUACAUGAGGAUAGCGUGGGGAACCCUUCCAAAAAAAAUCUGGAUCUUCAUCUCAGAUUUUGAGAAAAUUCCAAGGCUAUAGGCUUACUGUUUUUUUCGGCAAAAAAGUGAAGCAUUUGCCAGAAUAAUUUCGGGACGCUUUUUCUAUGUAAAAAAGCGUAUCGAACGAGAAGCCGUCAAUGAAAUUGAGCUGGCGUAAGAUUCCAUCGAGGUAUCUUUGAAUUUUCACUUUUUCGAUCGAUUAUUCGGCGAUAACUCGAUCAAUUUCAUAGAUGGAAUUAUUUUGCUUGCAG